CCUCCCAAUUUUUUCUCUAUCAACACGGUGUCUCAUGAAAAGGAAAUAGUCACAAGCCACUGCUCCUUCUAGUAUCAGGUAUUAAUUUCAGUAAGACGACUUUAAUAAUUCAGAAAUAUCGACUCAAACAAAACAAUGUGUGUGGUGCUACCUAAGAACCGACCUAGCGAUGCAUGGUCGUGGUCAUUACUUUGGGAAUAGAGUACGCUAGGGUUUGGGAAGACAAAACGCAGUGUGAGGCAUCAAUGAAAGCACAUCGCAGGGGGAGGGGAGAGGAAGGAAAGAUCAGAGAGGAUUAAUGACUGCAUUACUGGUGGGAGAGGAGGAGGUAGACGAGGACCCCGUGCAAGGGGAGUGGAAAGGUUCAUUUUGCAGUGACCGUGGACUGGGGAGUGGGAGGAGGGGCAACUAUCCGCAGGAAUCUCCCCCCGUGAAUGGGUCCGUCACUUACGCAGCGGCUUCUAGAAAGAGAAAAUGUGCCUCAGGUAGGUCCUCCUCGGUCAUCGUGGGACAGAGGCGAUUGUGGGGAACUGCUAGUCUGGAAAGCGGGGCUGCUUCUCCGGGAUGAGCCCGAGCCCUGCCAAGCCCCUCAAGGCAUUGAAGCUUUAGCUCACCUUAUCCGAAUGGUCACUGGGCAUCCGGACUUGAGUUAACGACUGAAUUUUUCUGGGAAGCAAGGGACACGUUCUAAAAUAACCCCAGGAUCACUCUCCGAACUUGGCCUGAGUCUAGGCAAGCAGUGUUACUCGGUCGCCUUGAUCUUGGAGCUGCUGUGUACUGGGGACCUCAUACUAGUUGGGUUAACUAUAUUCCCAUUAGCAGUACACGGGAUCGCAGUACUCGGGACAAGCUGAGUUCAAGCUGCUAUGAGUAACACUAUCUGGAAAGACAGUGCUAGCAAGGUAUGAGGAGUGAUACAGUGACUGGAGGCUAAGAGAUAAUGUCUGCAAGUCACCUAAAACCAUUGCAGAUACAGGGAGAUUGAUGGAUUUGGAGGAUUUCUGGUUGUGAAGACUCUGAUGAUUGCUAAAGAGUUAAGUGAAAUACUAAGAUAAAAAGCUCCCCUUUAUGGCUGACUAUUUGAUAUCUAGGUACAAAUGAACAUCCAGAUAAAGAGGUCCUGAACUUCUGCCAAUACUGUAGGUAUCUUUA
rnacentral:lncRNA from 1 species